rnacentral:rRNA from 1 species
AUUUACAGAUAAAGAGUCGUGCCUGCCCAGUGAAUUUUUUUAACGGCCGCAGUACCCUGACUGUGCUAAGGUAGCAUAAUCACUUGUUUUUUAAUUGAAAGCUUGUAUGAAUGGCUUGACGCAGGUAAAGCUGUCUCUUUUAUAUUAAAUAAAAAUUAAUUUUUAAGUGCAGAAGCUUAAAUAAAACCAAAAGACGAAAAGACCCUAUCGAGCUUGAAAAUUAUAAUUAAAUUAAAUUUAUAGUAAAAUAAUUUUUAAUUAAUUUUUUUUGUUGGGGUGACAAAAGAACAAAUAAAGCUUCUUUUCAUUUUAUAAAUUUAUAAAUUUAUAGAUCCAUAAAUUAUGAUUAAAAGAAAAAGCUACCGUAGGGAUAACAGCGUUAUUUUUUCAAAGAGUUCUUAUCGAAGAAAAAGUUUGCGACCUCGAUGUUGGAUUAAAGUAACUUUUAAGUGCAGAAGCUUAAAUAGUGGGUCUGUUCGACCCUUAAACCUUU